GGGUGCAGAUCAAGUGCGAGCUGCGCAUUCUCUCGCAGUUCGCCUUCAAUCUGAACCCCGA
rnacentral:pre_miRNA from 1 species